AUUGAACGCUGGCGGCAGGCCUAACACAUGCAAGUCGAGUGAGCGGCGGACGGGUGAGUAAUGUCUGGGGACUGCCCGAUAGAGGGGGAUAACUACUGGAAACGGUAGCUAAUACCGCAUACUAUCGGAUAACCCAUAUGGGAUUAGCUAGUAGGUGGGGUAAUGGCUCACCUAGGCGACGAUCCCUAGCUGGUCUGAGAGGAUGAUCAGCCACACUGGGACUGAGACACGGCCCAGACUCCUACGGAGGCAGCAGUGGGGAAUAUUGCACAAUGGGCGCAAGCCUGAUGCAGCCAUGCCGCGUGUAUGAAGAAGGCCCUAGGGUUGUAAAGUACUUUCAGUCGGGAGGCGUUACCGACAGAAGAAGCACCGGCUAACUCCGUGCCAGCAGCCGCGGUAAUUC
rnacentral:rRNA from 1 species